UUCCGGGUUCUUCUUCCUACCCAGCUUGCCCUGGGCGCGCACUUGUGAGCACGUCCCAAAUUACUACUAAUGCAGAAUGCAGAAGUUAACAGACUAUAAAGUGUUCCCUCUGCUUACCCUCCGGUCUCAGACCUCUGGAGAGUGAUCUUUUCGGUGCUACUGGUGUGAAAGAAACCUCCUGCCUUCCAAGAUCUCCCGAGUGCCGAGUGCCGCUUGGUUCUUCUGCCAAGUGAUCCAGACCAGGAGGUGAAGAUUUGCUGAUCUCAGCCAGACUCAGCCAAACUUGGCUCUAGGGCAAGGGCUAGGUCAAACCUGUUCCAUGAGCCUGAUUCUGGGGUCAAGCUGAGGGACAGUAGCCACAAGGACAUAUUCUCAUGGAAAUGGCAGAAGUCCAGGAGUGAAACAAAAUUAUGAUAACAUGUUUUAGACUUUUAUAACAUUCCAUGGGCCAAAGCAACUCGCAUGGGCAAAGAUGACAUUAAAUGGGAUAGUCAAGCAUAUUCUACUCUCAGUAAGAGGAGAAGAAAGUAAAUAUCUGUUGAAAAAUAAUCCUAUCACACCAGCUGACAUCGAAGGACAUUCUCAGAAAUAAUUUAAGACUGGACUCUGAAAAUUGUUCCAAUCUUGAAUAACAUAUGUUUGAAGCAUAUUGUGUCUCCAAUCAGCAAAUCACUCCUGAAUUCAAAAGCAAAAAUCCUUGUUACUCUACAUGAAAAUUAAACAUGAAAAUUUUCUGACA